CUUUAAUGUGAGGUAAAUUAGAGCUUAGUGCCACGAAUAAUAUACUAGAUUGCCUACUUACAACCAGAUGAGGAUGAUGAUGGGCUCUAGCUGCAGUCUGGCUCCACUGGUCUGGUGCAGAACAGGCUCUCUGGAGGCAGUUUGUAACUGUGGUCACAAAAAUCAAUGUUCUGGGAGAACGGGAAGCAGCUCCAUUUUUUGGGGGUCCUUUACACAGCUCAAGGUCUGGGUCCCAGGGUCCACCUUCAUGUUCCACCAAUGAGUUUGUUCACAGGGGGUGGAGUGUGUAAGGGAUGUCCUGAUAUGUGUGUAAGGAAUGCAUUGUGUG